ACGGGUGAGUAACGCGUGGGUAACCUGCCCUGUACAGGGGGAGUAACAGUCAGAAAUGACUGCUAAUACCGCAUAAGACCACAGCACCGCAUGGUGCAGGGGUAAAAACUACCGGUGGUACAGGAUGGACCCGCGUCUGAUUAGCUGGUUGGUGAGGUAACGGCUCACCAAGGCGACGAUCAGUAGCCGGCUUGAGAGAGUGAACGGCCACAUUGGGACUGAGACACGGCCCAAACUCCUACGGGAGGCAGCAUG
rnacentral:rRNA from 1 species